UACGAAGGGGGCUAGCGUUGCUCGGAAUCACUGGGCGUAAAGGGUGCGUAGGCGGGUCUUUAAGUCAGGGGUGAAAUCCUGGAGCUCAACUCCAGAACUGCCUUUGAUACUGAGGAUCUUGAGUACGGGAGAGGUGAGUGGAACUGCGAGUGUAGAGGUGAAAUUCGUAGAUAUUGGGAAGAACACCGGUGGCGAAGGCGGCGAGCUGGCCUGUACCUGACGCUGAGGCGCGACAGCGUGGGGAGCAAACAGG
rnacentral:rRNA from 1 species